GUCCAGGGGCGGGAAUCAAACCCACACGUUCUGCUUACCGGGCAGGUGCCAUGUCCACUAGGCUACCCUGGA